GUGUAUACAGCGUAAGUAGCAGUCAAGUGUGUAGGAGACUGUUGAUAAGUCAAACUGCACACCUUAUCAAAACACAAGUUAAUCAAUGUUUUUUACGUGGUUAAAGUCCACUGCUCACUGAGGAGAGAAGGAGACGGCUGUGGCACACACACAAUUUGGUAAGUUCUGGUUUUUAGCAAAGCUUAUUUGGAUCCUUUUUUUCAUUUUAUAAACUGAUGAUUACGUGUAUAAGUUGAGUUGAGAGUGAAAGAACAUGCUUUGAAUUAUUGUACUGAUCAUAUUUUGCCCAACUGUAAAUGGCCACAGCCAGACGGUUUGUUUGAUAUUCACAUUUCUGUAGAACAAUCUGUCUAUGUGGAAAGCUGAAUGAGAAUUAUACUUCUAUAAAUCUAUAAAUAGUUAACGUCUAUGUCUAUGCAGAGUGCUGCAGGAUGGGGUAUGAUGCGUUACCUAAAGAGAUAAUGUUCAUUCACCAUUCAUAAUAAUCAUAUUAUCAUAAUAACAUUGGCCCUAACUGUCACUGUCAAAAAUAACAGCAGGUUUUUUGGAUAGGUACAUUUUAGUGUUUUAAUUAUUUAUAUGUUUGUAUGACACGUGUGUGUAGCAUGAAGGGACUACAACUUUAAUUUCAUUGCACAACCCUGUAAUAAUGACCUUGAUACCUUGGUGUUUGCCAAGAUUGAUAAUAAGAUUCUAAGAUCUAAAAAAAACAGGACUGAGAGGUGAAGAAAAAACGUACUUGAAAUGUUUUCUGUGCUCUAUCAUUUCAGCUGAUAUGGCCCCAUCCAGCUCUACUUUCAGAAUCAUCACUGACAUGCCAGUUCUCUCUGUGUUUUUUCAAAAUAAAACUUUUGUCUUGACUGGGGUGGGUUUAGUGACCCUUUCUUUUUGUGCAUGGAGAUAUUUAGGGAAUCAUGGCCCCAACAUUGAUUCACUGGAAGAACAAAAGAAGGAACUUGAGUUGCAGAAACGUCAACUGGAAGAACAAAAGACAGAACUUGAGUUGAAGAGACAUCAACUGGAAGAACAAAAGAAGGAACUUGAGUUGCAGAGCCGUCAACUGAAAUCACAGCUUGAAGAGGUGGAGCAAGAGAAGAACAAGAACAAGAAGACGCUUCUGUCAGUGGAGGAGAAAAUAACCAACAGUGAGAGAGAAAAGACGGAUGAAAAAUCUGGAUUAUUAAAAGAAAAAGAAAACCUAUUAGAUGACAAAUGGAAACUCGAUGAAAAAAAGAAACACUUGGAACAAAUGGAACAGAAUGUGGAGAAGUUAUUGCAGGCAAUAGAAACUAUAAUUAGUUGUGUAGACGUGAAUAAGUAGAUGUAUAGGAUCGCAAGGACCUUUCUUAAGUCCUUUUCGUGCUCUCUUCCAAGGCGCUUGGCCUGUGCUUAACUAAUUAAUCUACCACCACUUUCUUCCUUGUUGGAUGUAGGCACUAUUUAUACUACAUAUCUAUACAUAUUGUGGUUUUUUGCAUACUGGUGCUUAAGAAUUACAGAUGUCACGGUUAAGGAUACUGAAAAACCAAACCUAAUAGAUAGGACCCUGGUCUCAGGUUUCACAGUUCUAAGCUUUAUACGUACAUUUCAACUGACGGUGUAACUAAUAUUCAGUGCUGCAUAUUCAAGUUUCAGUAUUCUCAUUCAAAACGUUUUUUUUUUUGUUGUUUUUCAAUUAUUACAUCAAAUAGUUUUGGUCAAUGAAAAACAUGUACUGAAUAUUGUUUUUUUUUUUUUUUAUCUUUUUCUAAUAAAUACCACUGAUCAGCUUUGGAAGAAAAACAGAGUAAUAUCAAUUAUUUAAACCUUUACUGUUUCGGUAAUAUGAAACGUGAUGUGUGAAAUGAGAUUAUGACGAGAAUAACCAGUCUAAUAUUUGUAGGAACAGACUAUAACCAUUACUA
rnacentral:lncRNA from 1 species